UACGUAGGGUGCGAGCGUUAAUCGGAAUUACUGGGCGUAAAGCGUGCGCAGGCGGUUUGCUAAGACCGAUGUGAAAUCACCGGGCUCAACCUGGGAACUGCAUUGGUGACUGGCAGGCUAGAGUAUGGCAGAGGGGGGUAGAAUUCCACGUGUAGCAGUGAAAUGCGUAGAGAUGUGGAGGAAUACCGAUGGCGAAGGCAGCCCCCUGGGCCAAUACUGACGCUCAUGCACGAAAGCGUGGGGAGCAAACAGG
rnacentral:rRNA from 1 species